rnacentral:rRNA from 1 species
UACGGAGGGUGCAAGCGUUAUCCGGAUUCAUUGGGUUUAAAGGGAGCGUAGGCGGGCUUAUAAGUCAGUGGUGAAAUCUCCUUGCUUAACAAGGAAACUGCCAUUGAUACUGUAGGUCUAGAGUACAUUUGCUGUGGGCGGAAUAUGACAUGUAGUGGUGAAAUACUUAGAUAUGUCAUAGAACACCGAUUGCGAAGGCAGCUCACAAAAAUGUAACUGACGCUGAGGCUCGAA